rnacentral:rRNA from 1 species
UAAGGCUAAAUACUCCCAACUGACCGAUAGUGAACCAGUACCGUGAGGGAAAGGCGAAAAGAACCCCUGUGAGGGGAGUGAAAUAGAACCUGAAACCGUGUACGUACAAGCAGUAGGAGCCUACUUGUUAGGUGACUGCGUACCUUUUGUAUAAUGGGUCAGCGACUUAUAUUUUGUAGCGAGGUUAACCGAAUAGGGUAGCCGUAGGGAAACCGAGUCUUAACUGGGCGAAUAGUUGCAAGGUAUAGACCCGAAACCCGGUGAUCUAGCCAUGGGCAGGUUGAAGGUUGAGUAACAUCAACUGGAGGACCGAACCCACUAACGUUGAAAAGUUAGGGGAUGACCUGUGGCUAGGAGUGAAAGGCUAAUCAAACCGGGAGAUAGCUGGUUCUCCCCGAAAUCUAUUUAGGUAGAGCCUCGGACGAAUACUUACGGGGGUAGAGCACUGUUAAGGCUAGGGGGUCAUCCCGACUUACCAACCCUUUGCAAACUCCGAAUACCGUAAAGUAAUAUCCGGGAGACACACGGCGGGUGCUAACGUCCGUCGUGAAGAGGGAAACAACCCAGACCGCCAGCUAAGGUCCCAAAGUCAUAGUUAAGUGGGAAACGAUGUGGAAAGGCCCAGACAGCCAGGAGGUUGGCUUAGAAGCAGCCAUCCUUUAAAGAAAGCGUAAUAGCUCACUGGUCGAGUCGGUCUGCGCGGAAGAUGUAACGGGGCUAAACUAUGCACCGAAGCUGCGGAUUCAGAAUUUAUUCUGAGUGGUAGGGGAGCGUUCUGUAAGCGGUUGAAGGUGUACCGGGAGGUAUGCUGGACGUAUCAGAAGUGCGAAUGCUGACAUGAGUAACGAUAAUGGGAGUGAAAAACUCCCACGCCGGAAGACCAAGGGUUCCUAUCCCAUGUUAAUCAGGGUAGGGUAAGUCGACCCCUAAGGCGA